rnacentral:ncRNA from 1 species
UGAUAGCUGUGAAGCGCGAGGUUGCUGCCCGUCAAGGCAGGUUUUCCGUGGAGCGAAUGUCAAGUUAGGAAACUGGCGACAA